rnacentral:rRNA from 1 species
UACGUAGGGUGCGAGCGUUAAUCGGAAUUACUGGGCGUAAAGCGUGCGUAGGCGGUUCGUCAAGUCUGAUGUGAAAGCCCCGGGCUCAACCUGGGAACUGCAUUGGAAACUAGCGAGCUUGAGUGUGGCAGAGGGGGGUGGAAUUCCACGUGUAGCAGUGAAAUGCGUAGAGAUGUGGAGGAACACCGAUGGCGAGGGCAGCCCCCUGGGCUAACACUGACGCUCAGGCACGAAAGCGUGGGGAGCAAACAGG